GAUGAACGCUGGCGGCGUGCCUAAUACAUGCAAGUCGAGCGGACGGACGAGAAGCUUGCUUCUCUGAUGUUAGCGGCGGACGGGUGAGUAACACGUGGAUAACCUACCUAUAAGACUGGGAUAACUUCGGGAAACCGGAACUAAUACCGGAUAAUAUUUUGAACGGCAUGGUUCAAAAGUGAAAGACGGUCUUGCUGUCACUUAUAGAUGGAUCCGCGCUGCAUUAGCUAGUUGGUAAGGUAACGGCUUACCAAGGCAACGAUGCAUAGCCGACCUGAGAGGGUGAUCGGCCACACUGGAACUGAGACACGGUCCAGACUCCUACGGGAGGCAGCAGUAGCGAAUCUUCGGCAAUGGGCGAAAGCCUGACGGAGCAACGCCGCGUGAGUGAUGAAGGUCUUCGGAUCGUAAAACUCUCUUAUUAGGGAAGAACAUAUGUGUAAGUAACUGUGCACAUCGUGACGGUACCUAAUCAGAAAGCAACGGCUAACUACGUG
rnacentral:rRNA from 1 species